GAUACAUUGUAUAAUAUAAAGUGAUAAAGUUCGAACUUCAAAUAAAUCAGAUGAAUUUUAACACUUAAUUGGGAGAAAAAGAGCUCUUCUGAUGCAAUAUUUGGAGAUUUGAAAGCAAUAUGUUUGAAGAGUAGUAAGUCUUCCAAGACUAUAAGUUCUAGCUCUUAAUAAUGAUUUAAAAAAAAUUGAUUGUUUUGUAGGAUAAAGUGGAGGUGGCAUUUAGGGUGGGUGAGGGAAAGAGUUUCCUACUAUGGAAAAGUUUUUUCUUACCAUAAGAUUAAAGAAGUGCACAGAUUUUAAAAUGGUCUGUCCACACCAUAUAUUUUCCUCCAUCAUCUUCAACCCUUGAAAAUACAAAUCUACAAUUCACCCACCAACCCAUAUCCAUUUAAAAUCAAUCUUUUUUGUUAAGAUGAUUUUGGUCUAACACAUUGAAUGAAUUUUAGAGAUACCAAUAAUUUCGAACACUAGAUUUUCCCAACACAUCUUCUUCAACCAACCCACACCAUAUAUUUUCCCCACAUCUUCUUCAACCUAGAUUUUUUUCUACACUAUGUUUCCACCGUUACCACUCUUAACAGCACAUUCAUGCCUUUUCCUUGCCUCCAUUUCAUGUUCUUCAUUGGUGUGUUUUUUAUUUAACUUCUAACAGCACCGCAUCCUCUUUAGCUUGUGCAUCCCACAUUGAACACAUAACUUUAAAUCUUACUCUACUUCUAUUUCACUUUUCCAAUUAUGUGUUUUCUGUCUCGUCUACGAAAAAAGCCACCAAUCUUUAGAGGUCAUUUCCGACAACCUUGAAUUUGCUGAAGGAAAGCAAACACCGGAUUUGUGAUCCUCGUCGCGAGUUCUCUCUAUUGAACCACUUAUUAUUUCAUUCUGAGUACAUCUCUGAAAAUCUGCCGCCAACGAGUUUCCAG
rnacentral:lncRNA from 1 species